CUUUCUUUGCUGGCGACCGGCGCACGGGUGAGUAACACGUAUCCAACCUGCCCUUUACUCGGGGAUAGCCUUUCGAAAGAAAGAUUAAUACCCGAUAGCAUAAUGAUUCCGCAUGGUUUCAUUAUUAAAGGAUUCCGGUAAAGGAUGGGGAUGCGUUCCAUUAGGUUGUUGGUGAGGUAACGGCCCACCAAGCCUUCGAUGGAUAGGGGUUCUGAGAGGAAGGUCCCCCACAUUGGAACUGAGACACGGUUCAA
rnacentral:rRNA from 1 species